rnacentral:tRNA from 1 species
GUACCCUUAGCUCAAUCGGCAGAGCACUGGAUUGUGGUUCCAGGGGUUGUGGGUUCAAGUCCCAUAGGGUACCCCA